rnacentral:misc_RNA from 1 species
GAAAUGCGAUACUUGGUGUGAAUUGCAGAAUUCAGUGAAUCAUCGAAUCUUUGAACGCACAUUGCGCCCCUUGGUAUUCCAUGGGGCAUGCCUGUUCGAGCGUCAUUUGUACUCUCAAGCCUUGCUUGGUGUUGGGUGUUUGUCUUUGCUCAGCUUAGACUCGCCUUAAAUAUAUUGGCAGCCGGUAUACUGGUUUGAAGCGCAGCACAUUUGCAAUUCAAGCCUGUUAUUAUUGGUACCCACAAAGAAUACUAUCACUUUUGACCUCGGAUCAGGUAGGGAUACCCGCUGAACUUAA